rnacentral:rRNA from 1 species
CCUACGGGAGGCAGCAGUGAGGAAUAUUGGUCAAUGUACGCAAGUCUGAACCAGCCAUGCAGCGUGCAGGAAGACGGCUCUAUGAGUUGUAAACUGCUUUUGUACGAGAGUAAACGCAGAUACGUGUAUCUGUCUGAAAGUAUCUUACGAAUAAGGAUCGGCUAACUCCGUGCCAGCAGCCGCGGUAAUACGGAGGAUUCAAGCGUUAUCCGGAUUUAUUGGGUUUAAAGGGUGCGUAGGCGGUCGGAUAAGUUAGAGGUGAAAUCCCGAGGCUCAACUGCGGAAUUGCCUCUGAUACUGUCCGGCUAGAGAGUAGUUGCGGUAGGCGGAAUGUAUGGUGUAGCGGUGAAAUGCUUAGAGAUCAUACAGAACACCGAUUGCGAAGGCAGCUUACCAAGCUACUACUGACGUUGAGGCACGAAAGCGUGGGGAGCAAACAGGAUUAGAUACCCCAGUAGUC